rnacentral:rRNA from 1 species
GACGAACGCUGCGCGUGCGUUACACAUGCAAGUCGAACGAAGAGCGAUGGAAGCUUGCUUCUAUCGAUCUUAGUGGCGAACGGGUGAGUUACGCGUAAUCAACCUGCCCUUCAGAGGGGGACAACAGUUGGAAACGACUGCUAAUACCGCAUACGAUCCAACCUCGGCAUCGAGGAUGGAUGAAAGGUGGCCUCUAUUUAUAAGCUAUCACUGAAGGAGGGGAUUGCGUCUGAUUAGCUAGUUGGAGGGGUAACGGCCCACCAAGGCAAUGAUCAGUAGCCGGUCUGAGAGGAUGAACGGCCACAUUGGGACUGAGACACGGCCCAGACUCCUACGGGAGGCAGCAGUGGGGAAUCUUCCGCAAUGGACGAAAGUCUGACGGAGCAACGCCGCGUGAGUGAUGACGGCCUUCGGGUUGUAAAGCUCUGUUAAUCGGGACGAAAGGUCUCUUGCGACAUAGUUAGAGGACAUUGACGGCACCGGACAAGAAA